UGGUUGCUUGGUGGAUAGAAGCAGAGCUGCUGAAGUAAACAACUCAAGUACCGAGGAGAGGGAGACAAGAAUAAGUUCCUUUCUACCACCAGCUCACAGAAGAAUAAACCCUAGAGCCUUCCUACAUUCCUUGUCUCUGCUCAACAUCACAGAGAGAUGGGGAAGGAGCUGGAAAGGAGAAAGAAAAGCUACACGUAUUCUGUGACAUGUGGAUCCAUGGCCACCUCUUGUGCCAAGAGGUGGGCUACCCUCAGAAUGGAGGAGCAAACCUUAUAUUCCAUUUGGGUUCCAUCGUCUGCAUCUCUCGUGUCUCCUGUGUCCACGACGCCCAUUGAAUAGAAAAUACUACAAAAGAUGCUGGAUACCACCCAGUCCUUCACAGGCAAAGCCCUCACCACUAUUUGAGCACAUCUACAAGGAACGUUGCCGCAAGGUAUCAGCAUCCAUCAUCAAGGACCCCCACCAUCCAGGCCAUGUUCAUUUCUCACUGCUGCCAUCAGGAAGGAGGCACAGGAGCCUUACAUCCCACACCACCAGGUUCAGGAACAGUUAUUACCCUUCACCCAUCAGGCUCCUGAACCAGCGUGGAUAACUUCACUCACUCCAUCACUGAACUGAUUCCACAAACUACAAACUCACUUUCAAGGACUCUACAACUCAUGUUAUCAGAAUUAUUUAUUUACUCUAUUAUUAUUAUUUGAAUUUGUACAACUUAUCUUCUUCUGCACAUUGGUUGAUUGCCAGUCUUUGUGAGCAGUUGUUUCUAUUGCAUUUCUUUGUUCUACUGUGAAUGCCGGCAAGAAAAUGAAUUUCAUGGUCGUAUUUGGUGACAUGUAAAUACAUCGAUGAUAAAUUUACUUUGAAUUAUGAACAACAGAGAUAGUGUUUCUGUAGGAAAAGUAGCAUCCAAGUUGUGCACAGCAAGCUCCCACAAAACAACAAUAUAAUGAUGACCAAAUAGUAGCGAUGCAACCCAUAGGUUUUAAAGCUACAUUUAAUGUCAGAGAAAAGCAUGCAAUAUACAUCUUGAAAUUCUUUUUCUUCACAGGCAUCCACAAAAACAGACGCGUGCCUCAAAGAACGAAUGACAGUUAAAUGUUAGAACCCCAAAGCCCCCCCCCCAACUUCCCCUCCCAGGCACAAGCAGCAGCAAGGCAACAAGACCCCCCUCCCCUACCCCACCAGCAAGCAUCUGAGGAUUAAUAUUGAGCCAGAACUCACAGCAGUGGAAAGGAUGAGCAGCGUCAAGUUCCUGGGCGUGAAUAUCUCUGAGGAUCUAUCCUGGCCCAACAUAUUGACGAGAUCAUGGGCUAUACUUGAUUAGGAGCUUGAAGAGAUUUGGUAUGUCACUGAUGUACUGUGGAGAGUAUUCUGACUGAUUAUAUCAUCGUCUGGUAUGGAGGGGCCAACGCACAGGGUCAGAAAAAGCCGCAGAGGGUUGCAAACUCAGCCAGCUCCAUCAUGGGCACAAGCCUCCCCGGCAUUGAGGACAUCUUCAAACGGUGAUGCCUCAAGAAGGCGGCAUCAAGAAGGAAUUUGCCUUGGUGCGUUAAUAAAGCAUGCAAAUAAAAACAACAUUCAGCAAUUCAUCAAUGAGUUCUGAAGAAGGUCUCGACCCAAAAUGUUGACUGUUUAUUCAUUACCAUAGAUGCUGCCUGACCUGCUGAGUUCCUCCAGCAUUUUGUGUGUGGUUGCUCUGGAUUUCCAGCAUCUGCUGAAUCUCUUUGUUUAACAUUCAACAAUUAUUAAGAAUAAAGGACCUUAUAAAAAUAAUUCAGAUGUGAAAGUGUGGAUAUGGAAUAAAAUGUGUAUAAAUACAUAAAUACCAGCAUGUAUUUACAAUUUAAACAGCAUUAUAAAAAAGUUCAAAGAGUUUACAAUGGAGUCCUGUGACUGAGGCAAUAGAUAGAGCAAGCAGGUGUGUGGGUGGGACUAACUAGAAUGGCUAUUCAAAUUGACUACCUGGCGAAAAAAACUUUUAAGAAGGCAUGAAGUUUUUGUUUUACUGUUCCUGUAUCACUUUCCAAAAGAGAACUUUUGGAAAAGGUAGUUUGGGCUGUGCCUGCAAAGGUUUUCCCUGCCUUCCCAUGCCUUCGUUCUGGACACGCCCAAGUCCUGCAGUGACAGUAGACUGUAGCCAAUCACAAGUGAGGAACUUGAGCAUCCAACCGCACAAGGAGGUAUUGGCCUCAGUAACUCCUCGUGCAGCUGGAUCCUUGGUGUUAUCAUUUCAGAGGAUCUGUCCUGGACCCAGCACGUAACCACCAUUAUGAAGACAGCAUGGCAGUGUCUCUCCUUCCUUGGUGCUGAGGGGGUAAUGUUCUAUAUUCCCCUUUUGUACGAUCUGUCCCCUUCAGAACAUCGGAUGGUUGUCAGACUUUGUCCUAGGUGUGUUUUGUUUUGUGGAUUCUAUUGUAUUGCUUUGUUUUCCUGUAGGUUCCUGCAAGAAAAUGAAUCUCAGAGUAUAUAUACUUAGAUAAUAAAUUUAAUUUGAACUUUGAACUUUUUUCUCUUUUAACUUCUGUGUUCUACAGUAUGUAAACUCUGGCUUUGGUAGUGGCACUCUGGUUUUGAAAAUGAAUAUUAAAAAAUUCUGAGGCAGUUGCUCUAGGCUGAGCUAUGGUGAAGCAUUUUGUUAAUGUGGAUUCAGCAAAUUACACCCAAUCACUGACAUUGUGAUGUAACAUCGUGUGUUAGGAUUGUGUGACUCAGCCUGAAAAAUAUAUGAAAAUGUCAUUCAAGGCUUUCUACACUCACCAUCUCCAGAAAGGAGUCAUUUCAACAUCUUGUACACCAGUCAACUCCUCCACCCACACAUACCAGUCACCCCUUAUCUCCCACUGCCACUUUGGUGUCCCACAAACACACAAGAAGAGAUAAAGGUGCCUUGGUAGAUCAAAUUACCAACAUCUCAGAACUUGUAAUGUUGCAGCAAGAAAAUCUACUGGAAAAAAUCGUUGCACUCCAUCAAAGAAUGCAUGGAAGAAUGCUUCUGUUGUGUGCCUCUCGAGUCUAGUCUGCCAUUCAAUAAGAUCAGGGUUGAAAUGAUCUUGGCCUUGGAUCCAUUUUCCUGCCUCUUUCUGUAAUCCUGGAAUUAGUUUGCAGAGGGUUGUAAACUCAGCCAGCUCCAUCAUGGACAGUAACCUCCCCAGCAUCAAGGACAUCGUCGAAAGGUGAGGCCUCAAAAAGGUGGGAUCCAUCAUUAAGGACCCCCAUCAUCUAGGACAUGCCCUCUUCUCAAUAGUACGAUCACAGGGGCCUGAAGGUACCCACUCAAUGUUGUAGGAACGGCUUCUUACUCUUCGCUGUCAGAUUUCUGAAUGGACAACAUGAACACUGACUCAUUAUUUUCCCUCUUGUUUCAGUUAAUUUUGUAUAUGUAUUUCUUAUUAUAAUUUAUAGUACUUUUUAUACAUUGCACUGUACUGAUGCCGCAAAACAACUAAUUUCAUGACAUAUGUUAGUGAUAAUAAAUCUAAUUCUGAUUCACUCAUUACCACAGAAGCUUAGU